UACGUAGGGGGCAAGCGUUGUCCGGAUUUAUUGGGCGUAAAGGGCGCGUAGGCGGUGCGAGAAGCGUGUGGUGAAAGGCCGGGGCUCAACCCCGGCUCGGCCGUGCGGACUCUCGCGCUUGGUGAGUGCUGUAGAGGCGGGCGGAAUUCCGGGUGGUAGCGGUGGAAUGCGUAGAGAUCCGGAAGAACACCGGUGGCGAAGGCGGCCCGCUGGGCAGUGACUGACGCUGAGGCGCGACAGCGUGGGGAGCAAACGAGG
rnacentral:rRNA from 1 species